AACGUAGGGGACGAGCGUUAUCCGGAUUUACUGGGCGUAAAGCGCAUGUAGGUGGCUUGAAAAGUUGGACGUGAAAGCCCCCGGCUCAACUGGGGAGGGUCACGCGAUACUGAUCGACUCGAAGGCAGGAGAGGGUAGUGGAAUUCCCGGUGUAGUGGUGAAAUGCGUAGAUAUCGGGAGGAACACCAGUGGCGAAGGCGACUACCUGGCCUGUUCUUGACGCUGAGGCGCGAAAGCUAGGGGAGCAAACGGG
rnacentral:rRNA from 1 species